UACGAAGGGGGCUAGCGUUGCUCGGAAUCACUGGGCGUAAAGGGUGCGUAGGCGGGUCUUUAAGUCAGGGGUGAAAUCCUGGAGCUCAACUCCAGAACUGCCUUUGAUACUGAAGAUCUUGAGUUCGGGAGAGGUGAGUGGAACUGCGAGUGUAGAGGUGAAAUUCGUAGAUAUUCGCAAGAACACCAGUGGCGAAGGCGGCUCACUGGCCGAUACUGACGCUGAGGCACGAAAGCGUGGGAGCAACAGG
rnacentral:rRNA from 1 species